rnacentral:rRNA from 1 species
UACAGAGGUGGCAAGCGUUGUUCGGAAUUACUGGGCGUAAAGGGCGCGUAGGCGGUCACGACAAGUCAGUUGUGAAAUCUCCGGGCUUAACUCGGAACGGUCAACUGAUACUGUCGGACUAGAGUGCAGAAGGGGCAACUGGAAUUCUCGGUGUAGCGGUGAAAUGCGUAGAUAUCGAGAGGAACACCUGCGGCGAAGGCGGGUUGCUGGGCUGACACUGACGCUGAGGCGCGAAAGCUAGGGGAGCGAACGGG